rnacentral:rRNA from 1 species
UCGUCACACUAUCAUUAACUGAAUCCAUAGGUUAAUGAGGCGAACCGGGGGAACUGAAACAUCUAAGUACCCCGAGGAAAAGAAAUCAACCGAGAUUCCCCCAGUAGCGGCGAGCGAACGGGGAGGAGCCCAGAGCCUGAAUCAGCAUGUGUGUUAGUGGAAGCGUCUGGAAAGGCGCGCGAUACAGGGUGACAGCCCCGUACACAAAAGCGCAUGUGCUGUGAGCUCGAUGAGUAGGGCGGGACACGUGGUAUCCUGUCUGAAUAUGGGGGGACCAUCCUCCAAGGCUAAAUACUCCUGACUGACCGAUAGUGAACCAGUACCGUGAGGGAAAGGCGAAAAGAACCCCGGCGAGGGGAGUGAAAAAGAACCUGAAACCGUGUACGUACAAGCAGUGGGAGCACAGGUUUACCUGUGUGACUGCGUACCUUUUGUAUAAUGGGUCAGCGACUUAUAUUCUGUAGCAAGGUUAACCGAAUAGGGGAGCCGGAGGGAAACCGAGUCUUAAUUGGGCGUUAAGUUGCAGGGUAUAGACCCGAAACCCGGUGAUCUAGCCAUGGGCAGGUUGAAGGU